rnacentral:lncRNA from 1 species
GGAGAGAAGUUUCAUAGGAGGAAAGAUCUCUACAAAAUUAGAAACGAAGUUCAUGUCCCCAGCUUCCAGGCUGCUUGUCAGGAACACAAAAGGUGGCAUGUGAUAGCGAUGUAGGUUGUGAGUUUAGGAGAAAAUCACAGAGGGGCCAAGGAGAGAAGAUGCCAUGGGAGAGGAGGAGAUCUUGUUUAAAACGCAAGACAAAUCAAACAAGAAAAACCAACGAGGGGGAGAGAAAAGGGUCAGGCAUCAGGAUUCAUUACAUGUCCUUGAAAACAUGAGAAUAAGUCAAGAGGAUGAUUCAACAUAGAAAAAACAUGGCAGCAGGGAUGUAAAGAGAGGAGACCGAGCAGAGCAGAGAAAUAGGGAGUACUCAGAGAAACAACAAUCGGACAUACUAAAAGUGAGCAGCCUUGCGUGUCACAAAGCAUUCAUGCCCUUCUUCAUGCUGACAAAGGGAGACUGGAUCCAGCUGAUGCAAUGUGCCCAGCAAAGAUAAGGAAUGAGAUGAGGCCGUCAGAGGGAAUCCUGGCUCUCAGUCAGUCAGCCAGUAUGUGACUGUCAACAGCAGAGAGUUUUAUGGAAGACAUCUUUUCAUGCCUCCAGUUGGAUGAGGUUUCAAUCUGUAGUCCAGUCCAUCACCUUCCUAUUUCUCACAGAAAAAAACAUGAAAUGAAGAAAAAAAAAAGAGUCUUCAUAGGUUCCCAGGGUUUCUGAGCCAAGACACGCCAGCAUGCUGAAGAAAACAGAUAACAAACUUUCAAAGGAAGGUCAAAAGAAGUAGGAAAUUUAUUAUUAUA